AGACUGAACGCUGGCGGCAUGCCUAACACAUGCAAGUCGAACGGGAGUAGCAAUACUCUAGUGGCGGACGGGUGAGGAAUACGUAGGAAUUUGCCCUUAAGUGGGGGAUAACCCGGGGAAACCCGGAUUAAUACCGCAUGACCUCGAAAGAGCAAAGUGGGGGAUCGCAAGACCUCAACGCUUUUGGAGAAGCCUACGUCGGAUUAGCUA
rnacentral:rRNA from 1 species